CAGAGUUGGAAAUCAGUCUGUGUGUGUGCGACAAGGAGGGCUAGCGAACCUGAUAAUUUAGCUUUUUAUUGAACAUACUUCUUUCCGUGUGAAAUAUUAUAGUUGAAUUACAUUUUAGGGUACCUGAGGAAACACAUUUGGACUUUUUUUCACGAAGUUUAGCGAUAGCUUUUUGGAUUCCUUUCUCUGUAUGUUGAACGAGGGGAUUACUCAAAUCGAUGGCGCCAACUAAACUGACUUGGGAUAUAAAGAAGGAUUUUAUUUAACAAAACGACCAUAUAUGUUGUAGCUGGGACCCUUUGGAUGGCAAAUCAGAGGGAGAUUUUCAAAAACCCGUGGAGAUAUCAAAACAGCUGCAAAAAAAUAAAAUUCCCAGCCAUAAACCUGAUGCAUCAGGAAGCACCACAGACCUGAGCGACACAAAUGAGAUCACACACCUGCCAUGUCUCCACCAUCCACGCUGGCACUGUGUUAUUUUCUUGCAUGGAAUGAUGACCAAAUCCACUUUAAGUGGACCUAUUUGUUCCACUGUGUUGGACAUAGAAGUCAAUUAUGGAACUGUGUUUGUGAGGGCCGACGCUGGAGACGAGAAGCAAGGGAGUGAACAUUUAAUGUAAAACAGACAUCAAACAAAACAAGAACAGUGUCUGGAUGGGGGGAACAAAACGACAUGACGACAAUAAUGCUGACACGGAGAAACAAACUGAGGAACAAACAGAUAUAGAGGGACAAUCAACAAGGUGAAGGAGACCAGAGGUGCCACCUGGCAUCCCACCUGGGCGAAGCAUGGGCGCUGGACAAGAUGGCCGAGGCGUAGAAGCCUGAUGAUCCAGCUGAGGCGUGGGAGCCUGACGAGCCGGCUGAGGCAUGAUGUGGGAUGGGAGCCUGCCGAUCCAACUGAGGAAAGGAAACCUCUCAAGCCAGCUAAGAUGUGG
ensembl:lncRNA